AGUGAACGCUGGCGGCGUGCCUAAUACAUGCAAGUCGAACGGGGAUUUAGUAGCUUGCUAUUUAAUCUUAGUGGCGCACGGGUGAGUAAUAUAUAGCUAACUUGCCCAUUACUAAGGGACAACAGUUGGAAACGACUGCUAAUACCUUAUACUCCGUAUCUAUAUAAGUAGAUACGGGAAAGUUUUUCGGUAAUGGAUAGGGCUAUAUCGUAUCAGCUAGUUGGUAAGGUAAUGGCUUACCAAGGCUAUGACGCGUAACUGGUCUGAGAGGAUGAUCAGUCACACUGGAACUGAGACACGGUCCAGACUCCUACGGGAGGCAGCAGUAGGGAAUAUUGCUCAAUGGGGGAAACCCUGAAGCAGCAACGCCGCGUGGAGGAUGACACUUUUCGGAGCGUAAACUCCUUUUCUUGGGAAAGAAUUAUGACGGUACCCAAGGAAUAAGCACCGGCUAACUCCGUG
rnacentral:rRNA from 1 species